AACGCUUCAUUUGGGAUUAUGAGAAGAUUGCAUUACUUGCGGUGAGAAAGUAUGAUGAAAAAAUAUUUUAUUUUUUUCGUAUAUAAUACUGCGUUCCACAUAUUGCGAUUAGUUGGUUAUGAUAUAUUUUCUACAGUUCCAUCAGAGAACGCAAAAAUAUAUUUCUAUAUUUUUUUUCUCAACUCUAUUUUAUCUCAACUCUGUUUUAUCUAAUAACGUUAGAUAGACAUCAAUAUUAAACUAACCCUAAGUAUAUCAACUUAUAUAUUUAUUACCC
rnacentral:lncRNA from 1 species